rnacentral:rRNA from 1 species
UACGGAGGGUGCAAGCGUUAUCCGGAAUCACUGGGUUUAAAGGGUGCGUAGGCGGCCAUGUAAGUCAGUUGUGAAAUACCCCGGCUUAACCGGUGGAAGGGCGAUUGAUACUGCGUGGCUUGAAUCAGGUUGAGGCAGGCGGAAUGUGGCAUGUAGCGGUGAAAUGCUUAGAUAUGCCAUAGAACACCGAUUGCGAAGGCAGCUUGCUGGGCUUUGAUUGACGCUGAGGCACGAAAGCGUGGGGAGCAAACAGG